rnacentral:rRNA from 1 species
UACAUGGGGUGCAAACGUUGCUCGGAAUUAUUGGGCGUAAAGCGCGCGUAGGCGGUUACUCAAGUCGGAUGUGAAAGCCCUCGGCUUAACUGAGGAAGUGCACCCGAAACUGAGUAGCUAGAGUACUAAAGAGGGUCGCGGAAUUCCCGGUGUAGAGGUGAAAUUCGUAGAUAUCGGGAGGAACACCGGUGGCGAAGGCGGCGACCUGGGUAGAUACUGACGCUGAGGCGCGAAAGCGUGGGUAUCAAACAGG